rnacentral:misc_RNA from 1 species
CUGUUAUUAUUGCAAGCCAAAUCACUGAUUCCCAUUUGGAGAUCUCUGGAGUUUCAUUGUCAUUGUCGUCUGUACUCUCCCCAUUCUGACUCCCUUCCUCUGGAAUAGGAACAUAUAUAUCCUUUUGACUCCUUAACUGGAAAAAAAGAUAGGCAGCAUACACCACAAGCAUAACACAACUGCUAAAUCUUGAAAGAGCCAACUCUGACUUCCCAUAAUGCACCUCAGUGUGUGUGUAGUGCAAGACAGCAGGAAAAAGCAGCCCCAUUACAGCCAUCAAGAGCAAUCCCGAAUUCACAAUAGCAGUUGCCUUGUUAAAGACUUGUUCCUUUUGAUAAAACACAAGUCCACCACAGAAGAAUGCACAACCAAGUACUAGCAACAUGUUUGACAAAAUAGAGCCUAGCAAUGACAACUGAACAACACGUAUCAUUCUACUUUUCAAUGCAUAAAUUGCAAUAAUCAGUUCUGUUGCAUUUCCAAAUGUGGCAUUAAGAAGACCACCAACUGUAGGUCCCGUGUAAAAUGCCAGCUGCUCUGUAGCAUAACCUAAACGCUCAGCCAAAGGUGUUAUACCCAAUAA